GAGGCGGGUGCCCAACAAGCAUUAUCCCUGUGGUGUCCAUGCCUCUCUGGUUGAAAACGUGCCGACAUCAUGUGGGAGCCUGUUCCGAGAACUUGUUCCUCUGUUUGUGGGCUGAGUCACUGCUGUGACAAGGGGCCUUCUCCCUGACAUCCAGCCUUUGGUUCCCCAAAUUGGGGGAGGGGGAAGAUGGAUGAAUGCAGCCUGAGUCAUCCAGAGGAGCAGAUAAUUUGGUUCUAAUAGUGGCAUUGUCCCAAAGCCAACAGCAGCAGACUGGACUGCGGUACCUGUCGCCAAGCUCCGUACACUGAAAGGAGUGGGUGUGGAGACAGGUGUUGGAGGCCUGGCUGAAGUUACCUUGCUUCUGCCCUCUACACAGCAGCUUUCUUUUCCUCGAUUGUAACGACAAAAAUACAGCCAGAUAUUGAGUGUGGCAUGUCCCCUUGGGGACCAUCUUAA
rnacentral:lncRNA from 1 species